rnacentral:rRNA from 1 species
CCUACGGGAGGCAGCAGUGGGGAAUAUUGCACAAUGGGGGAAACCCUGAUGCAGCCAUGCCGCGUGUGUGAAGAAGGCCUUCGGGUUGUAAAGCACUUUCAGUUGUGAGGAAAAGUUAGUAGUUAAUACCUGCUAACCGUGACGUUAACAACAGAAGAAGCAC